AGCAGCCGCGGUAAUUCCAGCUCCAAUAGCGUAUAUUAAAGUUGUUGCAGUUAAAAGCUCGUAGUUGAAUUUCGGGGUUAGCAGGUCGGUCGUGCCAUUGGUAUGAACUGGUCUCGCUGAUCCCUCCCUCUUGACGAACUGUGAUGCCAUUAAUUUGGUGUCGCAGGGAAUCAGGACUGUUACCUUGAAAAAUUGAGUGUUUAAAGCAGGCUCACGCUUGAAUACAUUAGCCUGGAAUAAUGAAAUAGGACGUUUGAUCCUAUUUUGUUGGCUUCUAGGAUUGACGUAAUGAUUAAUAGGGAUAGUUGGGGGCAUUAGUAUUCAAUUGUCAGAGGUGAAAUUCUUGGAUUUAUUGAAGACUAACUACUGCGAAAGCAUUUGCCAAGGAUGUUUUCAUUAAUCAAGAACGAAAGUUAGGGGAUCGAAGACGAUCAGAUACCGUCGUAGUCUUAACCAUAAACUAUGCCGACUAGGGAUCGGAUGAUGUUAAUUUUUUAAUGACUCAUUC
rnacentral:misc_RNA from 1 species